GAUGAACGCUGGCGGCGUGCCUAAUACAUGCAAGUCGAGCGAACAGACGAGGAGCUUGCUCCUCUGACGUUAGCGGCGGACGGGUGAGUAACACGUGGAUAACCUACCUAUAAGACUGGGAUAACUUCGGGAAACAGGAGCUAACACCGGAGAAUAUAUUGAACCGCAUGGGUCAAUAGUGAAAGACGGUUUUGAUGUCACUUAUAGAUGGAUCCGCGCCGCAUUAGCUAGUUGGUAAUGUAACGGCUUACCAAGGCGACGAUGCGUAGCCGAGCUGAGAGGGUCGUCGACUACACGGGAACAUAGCCAAGUACAACGCUCCUAAGGUAGGCAGCAGUGUCGGAUCUUCCGCAGCAGGAGAAAGCCUAGCAGAACAAGUGCGAGCCAGUGAUGAAGAUCUUCGGAUCGUAAUACUGUGUUAUAUGGGAAGAACAAAUGUGUAUGUACCUAUGCACGUCUUGACGGUACCUCAUCAGAAAGCCACGGCUAACUCCGUG
rnacentral:rRNA from 1 species